rnacentral:rRNA from 1 species
UGGGGAAUAUUGGACAAUGGGCGAAAGCCUGAUCCAGACAUGCCGCGUGUGUGAAGAAGGCCUUUUGGUUGUAAAGCACUUUAAGCGAGGAGGAGGCUACUUAGAUUAAUACUCUAGGAUAGUGGACGUUACUCGCAGAAUAAGCACCGGCUAACUCUGUGCCAGCAGCCGCGGUAAUACAGAGGGUGCGAGCGUUAAUCGGAUUUACUGGGCGUAAAGCGUGCGUAGGCGGCUUUUUAAGUCGGAUGUGAAAUCCCUGAGCUUAACUUAGGAAUUGCAUUCGAUACUGGGAAGCUAGAGUAUGGGAGAGGAUGGUAGAAUUCCAGGUGUAGCGGUGAAAUGCGUAGAGAUCGGGAGGAAUACCGAUGGCGAAGGCAGCCAUCUGGCCUAAUACUGACGCUGAGGUACGAAAGCAUGGGGAGCAAACAGG